AACAUGUUACUUUGAAAUUUGUGCAUAUUCCGUAUGAGUGAAAUAUUGUACUGAAUAAUAAAUAAAGUAGUUCAAGUUAGUAGACAAAUCGGUCAAGAGCAGUUGCGGGUACACUCUUUUUUUAUUUUGGUUCCUGACCAUACAUUGUGAGUCUGCAAGAUCGAGAUUUUACGUUGGUAACUUGGGCGAUGUCGGAUGAAACAAAAAAAGUUCUACCGAAACUUCUCCAACCAGCCGAAAUGCGGCCCUGAAAACCGAGCAGACAACACUAAUUCAGGUUACCCAUCUAUUGGAGCACUUUCGAUUACGAUCCGUAAUCAACAAAACCGUUGAGGUCAGUUUCGGACAAGUCAGCGCCAAGCAAAAAUAAUACGAGACUGCAUGUUCACCUACCUGCCUGUCCGCCAGCCGCCAGGUACAAAGUUAUAUUAUGAUUUUAAAAGGUAACUCAUCGUAAUUUUUCGGAUAUUUUCGUCAUAGCUCGACGGACUCAUACAAGCCGAGACAGUGCUGAGCUCGAUUGGCGCGUCCGUCUCGAUUUGACUGAAUUCAGUGAGUUUUUCGUGUAGUACCUAAUAGUAGUGGCGCUGUAGUUUUGCUGGAAAAACUGUCGGUUGUUUUGCACAGAAACGCGAUUUUAAAAUUGACCGUGGUGUUGUGAAAGAUUGUGUUAACUAUUGUGACUACUUUUUACGUGCGUACUGUGUCAGUAAAGGGUAUACUUAUAUUGUAAUAUUUUUGGUACCUGUUUUAUUACCUUUACAAGGUAAGCAUUGAUUACAACUUCAUCUUGUAUCCCUGUAUCUAAACUAGUAAGCUUUCACCGUCCUUGCCAUGCUUUACAAAAU